AUCCAGCUGACCAGUCCUACGUAGGACGAAACGCGAGUCCUGGGU
rfam:Schistosoma curassoni strain Dakar, Senegal genome assembly, scaffold: SCTD_contig0023417